GCAGUUGGCUGGUGUUCCUGUUGGCAGGUGGCAUAGCACAAGAUUGGGCUGCCAGAUUGAGGAAGCAGGGAAGAUAGGAAAGCACUCUAAGCCGGUGGCUGGGCUUCCGUGGUGGCUGGGACAGCAGCAGUAGUGCUGUCCAUCUGCUCGUCCGAGGGGUGGCACAUCCUAGCCUCUAUCUUUUCCCUAGAGAAGAUCCCUUCGUCUGCUCUUCCCCCCCCCCCCCCCCCCCCCCCCCCCCCCCCCCCCGUCUCAGCCUCAGCCUUUUAGUGUGUGAACAGUUCUGGUGUGACUCAUCAGUGCUUUUGUUAGCGCCUUUACCAGCAAGUACUUGUUAAACACUUAAAUCUUACAAAUGGAA
rnacentral:lncRNA from 1 species